GACGAACCGUGCGAACGUUGUUCGGAAUCACUGGGCUUAAAGGGCGCGUAGGCGGGCGAUCAAGUCAGAGGUGAAAUCCCACGGCUCAACCGUGGAAGUGCCCCUGAUACUGGUUGUCUCGAGGGAGAUAGGGGCGUGCGGAACUUUUGGUGGAGCGGUGAAAUGCGUAGAUAUCAAAAGGAACACCGGUGGCGAAAGCGGCGCGCUGGAUCUCUACUGACGCUGAGGCGCGAAAGCCAGGGGAGCAAACGGG
rnacentral:rRNA from 2 species